rnacentral:sRNA from 1 species
UGAAGAGACCUGAGCUCGGGCUCACCCUCACCAAGCUUCACUGUUGGACUCUCACUCACUACAGCAAGUGUGUCUUCCUGGAUGCGGACACUCUGGUGCUGUCCAAUGUCGAUGAGCUGUUCGACAGGGGAGAGUUUUCUGCGGCCCCGGACCCCGGAUGGCCAGAUUGCUUCAAUAGCGGGGUAUUUGUCUUCCAGCCUUCUCUCCACACGCAUAAACUCCUGCUGCAGCACGCCAUGGAACACGGCAGCUUUGAUGGGGCAGACCAAGGCUUACUGAAUAGUUUCUUCAGGAACUGGUCGACCACAGACAUCCACAAGCACCUGCCGUUCAUCUAUAACUUGAGUAGUAACACGAUGUACACUUACAGCCCUGCCUUCAAGCAAUUCGGUUCCAGUGCAAAGGUCGUCCACUUUUUGGGGUCCAUGAAACCUUGGAACUACAAGUACAAUCCACAGAGUGGCUCGGUGUUGGAGCAAGGCUCAGCGUCCAGCAGCCAGCACCAGGCGGCAUUCCUUCAUCUCUGGUGGACGGUCUACCAGAACAACGUGCUGCCCCUUUAUAAAAGCGUCCAAGCGGGGGAAGCACGCGCGUCUCCUGGUCACACACUUUGCCGCAGUGAUGUGGGGGGGCCGUGUGCGGAUUCAGCCUCUGGUGUUGGAGAGCCGUGUGAAAAUUCAACACCCAGUGCCGGCGUGCCGUGUGCAAAUUCACCACUGGGUUCUAACCAGCCUGCUCAGGGCCUUCCGGAGCCGACCCAGAUAGUGGAUGAGACCCUGUCCCUACCUGAAGGACGCCGUUCAGAAGAUAUGAUAGCUUGUCCUGAAAUUGAGACUCCUGCCGUGAUAACGUGUGACCCACUGUCCCAGCCUUCCCCUCAGCCUGCAGACUUCACAGAGACUGAAACCACCUUGCAGCCAGCAAAUAAAGUCGAAAGUGUCUCAUCCGAGGAAACCUUCGAACCAAGCCAGGAACUCCCUGCUGAGGCUGUCAGGGACCCCAGUCUGCAGGAUGCACUGGAGGUGGUAUCCAAAUUCUUCCCCUUGCCCAAGGCUCCCGGUGGGGGCCAUCCACCGUCACUGAGGUCAACUGCAUGCACACAACAGCUGUUAAUUUUUCAGCCUCAUUUAACAAAAAAUAAGAAUCGGCUUCCCUCUU